AUUGAACGCUGGCGGCAGGCCUAACACAUGCGAGUCGAGCGGAUGAAGGGAGCUUGCUCCUGGAUUCAGCGGCGGACGGGUGAGUAAUGCCUAGGAAUCUGCCUGGUAGUGGGGGAUAACGUCCGGAAACGGGCGCUAAUACCGCAUACGUCCUGAGGGAGAAAGUGGGGGAUCUUCGGACCUCACGCUAUCAGAUGAGCCUAGGUCGGAUUAGCUAGUUGGUGGGGUAAAGGCCUACCAAGGCAACGAUCCGUAACUGGUCUGAGAGGAUGAUCAGUCACACUGGAACUGAGACACGGUCCAGACUCCUACGGGAGGCAGCAGUGGGGAAUAUUGGACAAUGGGCGAAAGCCUGAUCCAGCCAUGCCGCGUGUGUGAAGAAGGUCUUCGGAUUGUAAAGCACUUUAAGUUGGGAGGAAGGGCAGUAAGUUAAUACCUUGCUGUUUUGACGUUACCAACAGAAUAAGCACCGGCUAACUUCGUG
rnacentral:rRNA from 1 species